rnacentral:misc_RNA from 1 species
AAAGGGACAGGUGAAUCAUCGAAUCUUUGAACGCACAUUGCACCCGGUGGUAUUCCGCCGGGUAUGCCUGUCUGAGCGUCAUUUCUACCCUCGAGCACUGCUCGGUGUUGGCGGAUUGCCUAGCAACCGCUGAAAAUCAACGGCGGUGAUCCCUAUGUCCCUGUAUAGUACUAUUCUUACAGUGGUUAUAGCGGUCUACCAGUCUUUUGUCGUAGUCUCUCGGGACUCUCGACACUUUGAAACUCGACCUCAGAUCAGGUAGGAAUACCCGCUGAACUUAAGCAUAUCAAUAAGCGGAGG